rnacentral:misc_RNA from 1 species
GGAGGAGGCGGUAGCGGAGUCCAAGCGCUAUCUUCGAGGCAGCAACCACCGACGGCCAGAUGUAGAGCUCAUGCCGGAUUGAGUUGAUGUCUGCAUGGUUUCUUGUGAAGGGGUAGAAGGCACCCAGCUGUAUCCACCGCCGGCAGAGCUCCUCAGUUGUGUUUCCAUGGAACCCGCAGAUAUCAGCUCCGACCAUUGGUACACCGAACAUCCCAAAACUCAGCAUCCCUGUUAUCGAGUACUUCAUAUCCUCCCAUGUUGCCGCAUUGUCCCCAGUCCAGUGUGCCGUCCACCUGCCAGACCCGACAAAUGUUGACCUUGAC